rnacentral:rRNA from 1 species
AACGAACGCUGGCGGCAUGCCUAACACAUGCAAGUCGAACGAGACCUUCGGGUCUAGUGGCGCACGGGUGCGUAACGCGUGGGAACCUGCCCUUAGGUUCGGAAUAACUCCCCGAAAGGGGUGCUAAUACCGGAUAAUGUCUUCGGUCCAAAGAUUUAUCGCCUUUGGAUGGGCCUGCGUUGGAUUAGCUAGUUGGUAGGGUAAAAGCCUACCAAGGCGACGUUCCAUAGCUGGUCUGAGAGGAUGAUCAGCCACACUGGGACUGAGACACGGCCCAGACUCCUACGGGAGGCAGCAGUGGGGAAUAUUGGACAAUGGGCGAAAGCCUGAUCCAGCAAUGCCGCGUGAGUUAUGAAGGCCUUAGGGUUGUAAAGCUCUUUUACCCGGGAUGAUAAUGACAGUACCGGGAGAAUAAGCACCGGCUAACUCCGUG